rnacentral:tRNA from 1 species
GUUAAUUUGGCAGAGAAGUGCAAUGAAUUUAGAAUUCAUUUAUGUAAUAUAUUAUUACAAUUAAUA